CCCUUAGAUGUUCUGGGCCGCACGCGCGCUACACUGACGGAGCCAACGAGUACUUUCCUUGUCCGGAAGGACUGGGUAAUCUUGUGAAACUUCGUCGUGCUGGGGAUAGAGCAUUGCAAUUAUUGCUCUUCAACGAGGAAUUCCUAGUAAGCGUGGGUCAUCAGCUCGCGUUGAUUACGUCCCUGCCCUUUGUACACACCGCCCGUCGCUACUACCGAUUGAAUGGCUUAGUGAGCCUUUGGGAUUGGCAGCUUGUACCGGCAACGGUAGCAGGCCGCUGAAAACUUAGGCAAACUUGGUCAUUUAGAGGAAGUAAAAGUCGUAACA
rnacentral:rRNA from 1 species